GCAACUGUUUACCAAAAACACAGGUUUGUGCUAAAUCGAAAGAUGACGUAUACGAGCUGACGCCUGCCCGGUGCUGGAAGGUUAAGAGGAGAUGUGCAAGCAUUGAAUCGAAGCCCCAGUGAACGGCGGCCGUAACUAUAACGGUCCUAAGGUAGCGAAAUUCCUUGUCAGGUAAGUUCUGACCCGCACGAAAGGCGUAAUGAUUUGGGCACUGUCUCAACAGCCCGCCCGGCGAAAUUGUAGUACCGGUGAAGAUGCCGGUUACCCGCGACAAGACGGAAAGACCCCAUGGAGCUUUACUGUAGCCUAAUAUUGGGUUUCGAUGUUGCAUGCACAGGAUAGAUGGGACUCUGGGAAACCAAGGCUUUGGCUUUGGCGGAGAGGCCGUUGGGAUACCAUCCUUGCGAUAUUGGAAUUCUAACCUGCGGCUCUGAAUCGAGUCGGGGGACAUUGUUAGGUGGGCAGUUUGACUGGGGCGGUCGCCUCCUAAAGAGUAACGGAGGCGUUCAAAGGUUCGCUCAGCUUGAACGGAAAUCAAGCAAAAGAGUGCAAACGCAGAAGCGAGCCUAACUGCGAGACUGACGGGUCGAGCAGUAACGAAAGUUGGAGUUAGUGAUCCGGUGGUAUGUGAGUGGAAAUGCCAUCGCUCAACGGAUAAAAGCUACCCUGGGGAUAACAGGCUGAUCUCCCCCAAGAGUCCACAUCGACGGGGAGGUUUGGCACCUCGAUGUCGGCUCAUCGCAUCCUGGGGCUGAAUUCGGUCCCAAGGGUUUGGCUGUUCGCCAAUUAAAGCGGUACGCGAGCUGGGUUCAGAACGUCGUGAGACAGUUCGGUCCCUAUCUGUCGUGGGCGCAGGAUAUUUGAAAGGAGCUGUCCCUAGUACGAGAGGACCGGGAUGGACGCACCUCUGGUGCACCAGUUGUCACGCCAGUGGCACAGCUGGGCAGCUAUGUGCGGAUCGGAUAAACGCUGAAAGCAUCUAAGCGUGAAGCCGGCCUUAAGAUAAGAUAUCCCACUGAGUCAAUCAGGUAAGACCCCUUGAAGACUACAAGGUUGAUAGGCACACAGUGUAAGCGGAGUGAUCCGUUCAGCUAGCGUGUACUAAUAGGUCGAGGGCUUGACCC
rnacentral:rRNA from 1 species